rnacentral:lncRNA from 1 species
GUGGCAUUGAGGUGGGGGUCAAGCUGCAGGUCUCACCUCCUGUCCAUCAUGGGGUCCUCCCUGGGCUCUGGGUCUCAGAGCAGAUCUGUGGGGUGCAAAAUGCAGAGAGGCCUUGGUGUAUCCUCCUGGUCCUCCCAUCAAGAGCAGAACAAGGCAGGGGUAUUGGUGAGGUCACUCAGCCCUCUCCCCAUUAGAUCCAGGCAACUAGCCCACCAACGCCAGGCCACCUCCUCCUCCCCAGGGUCCCCUCUAAAGCAUGGCCCCAUCCUACCACAUCACCUCUCGGCCAUCUCCUGAAGGUCAACAGCCCUGGGCCUGAGGAGCAGGGAGGUGGGCAGUCAGUUAAGGAAUGGGCAGGGGUCCUGGUGUCCACCAUGGUCCUCAACACCCCACAGGUCAGCCUGGGGAAGUGGACCUCACCUCUGCACCAUUCACCCCAUUAGCUCUCAUGACCCCGUCCUGGCCCCUUUGGACCUGGGUUUGAUGGAGCACCAGUGACAGUUAGCACAGAGGACAGUGCCAGGGAGACCAGCUACCCCAUGUCCACUGAGGGAGUCAGCUUGGUGGCCAUCCUGGAGGACCUGGUGCGUCUGUCACAGCACACCCCUGAGCACCUGUGCUGGUGGCUGUGUGAGGGGACCACAGUGGCCUGCAGCGUGUGCUGGCUCCUGAGUCCCCAGCCCUCAACCCCCAGCCACUCUCUCUAUUCCAAGAGGCACCCCCAGCUCCAGGAGCAGUGGGCACCUCUGUGCAAUCAGGGAGCCAGGAAGGGACGUGGACGUCUAGCCCAGGUCCACCCACACUCCAAGUGCUCUUUGCUGCUGCCCUGGGAAGAGGCGGAGAUUCUGGCCAGAGCAG